rnacentral:rRNA from 1 species
AGCGAACGCUGGCGGCAGGCCUAACACAUGCAAGUCGAACGAACUCUUCGGAGUUAGUGGCGGACGGGUGAGUAACACGUGGGAACGUGCCCUUUGGUUCGGAAUAACUCAGGGAAACUUGUGCUAAUACCGAAUGUGCCCUUCGGGGGAAAGAUUUAUCGCCAUUAGAGCGGCCCGCGUCUGAUUAGCUAGUUGGUGAGGUAACGGCUCACCAAGGCGACGAUCAGUAGCUGGUCUGAGAGGAUGACCAGCCACACUGGGACUGAGACACGGCCCAGAAUCCUACGGGAGGGAGCAGUGGGGAAUGUUGCGCAAUGGGGGAAAGCAUGACGCAGCCAUGCCGGGUGAAUGAUGAAGGUAGUAGGAUUGUAAAAUGCUUUCACCGGGGACGAUAAUGACGGUACCCGGAGAAGAAGCCCCGGCUAACUACGUG